rnacentral:rRNA from 1 species
AUUGAACGCUGGCGGCAUGCCUUACACAUGCAAGUCGAACGGCAACGCGGGGGCAACCCUGGCGACGAGUGGCGAACGGGUGAGUAGCGCAUCGGAACGUGCCCAGGAGUGGGGGAUAGCCCGGCGAAAGCCGGAUUAAUACCGCACACGACCUACGGGUGAAAGCGGGGGACCGCAAGGCCUCGCGCUAUUGGAGCGGCCGAUGCCCGAUUAGCUAGUUGGUGAGGUAAAGGCUCACCAAGGCGACGAUCGGUAGCUGGUCUGAGAGGACGACCAGCCAAACUGGGACUGAGACACGGCCCAGACUCCUACGGGAGGCAGCAGUGGGGAAUUUUGGACAAUGGGGGAAACCCUGAUCCAGCCAUGCCGCGUGCGGGAAGAAGGCCUUCGGGUUGUAAACCGCUUUUGGCAGGAACGAAACGGCGCGCGCUAACACCGCGCGCUAAUGACGGUACCUGCAGAAUAAGCACCGGCUAACUACGUGCCAGCAGCCGCCGUAA